ensembl:lncRNA
GACUGGAUUACUACAGAUACAGUCCAAGGAGUCCAGAGACGCCGCCGCCACCACAGCCGCACAGAUGUGGGGUAGUGAUGUGUGGCUGUUUUAGGAGCCAUUAUGGACAUCGGUGAGGGAGGGAGAGGAAAGGAUGGAGGGAGAGAGGGAGGAGAACCUGACAUCAGCACCAAGCCGUUAUCUCAUCCUCUCCUGACCCCGGAAGUGGUUCCUUCUAAGGGGUCGCCCUCUCGUACCUCAGCCCCGGCCCCUGCCAAAGAGCCCUCCAACCUGACCCAGACAGAGCAGGGGGGUGCAGAGGGGACCGCAGGCAGAGAGGAGACCCCAGAAGGGGAGCGGGGUAUAUACUCACAGAAUGGUGGUGUGACACUGAAAGAAGAGCAAGAGAAGGAAGAGAAGCUAAAUGAGAAGAAGGAGAAAGAAAGAUUGUUACUGGUGGACGACAGAGAGGAAACGGGAAGAAAAAACCUUGCAGAGGUCAGCAGCAAAGACAGAGGAGAAGAGGAAAAAGAGAAGGAAGAGGAAGAGGAGAGAGAAGAGGCCAUCUCAAACCAAAGCCAAACCAAAUCCAAAUGUAGUCUAUUACCUCGACAGAGCCUGCACAGCUCUGCUUCCAGCACUGUUAUGGCCAGUGGCACAUUGAACAGCAACAUCCACAUCACUGCUUCCAAUUCUCCAAAGCACUCUACCUCUCCUUCUACCUGUCCAAAGCUCUCAUUAUCACCUUCCAAUUCUCCAAAGCACUCUACCUCUCCUUUCACCUCUCCAAAGCGCUCCAGCUUUUUCCCCUCCUCUCCUUAUCCUCAGAAUGAGACAGAGGUGAGAGACACAGGAGAAGUGCAAGGCAAUAGUCCUUGUUUUCCUCUGAGCUUUAAACCCCAGCAGUCUGCUCUGUCUAAGUCCACCAGCCCACCCGCUAAGGAUGAUGGUAGGGCAGACGCCACUCACACUUCCCUUAUUGCCAAUGGAGACACCACCAAAGUUCCAAAACCAAACAACAACCCAGAAGUGAGAGAUGGAGAUAGAGAGAUGGAAAUAGAAAGAGAUGAUGGAGAGAAGGAACGAGAGGGAGAUGAGAACAUAGAGACUGUAUCUAAGUACCUCCACUCCUCUCCC